rnacentral:ncRNA from 1 species
CCUAUUGAGUGUUAUAUCAAAUGAUAGUAGAAGUGAGGUUUACUUUACUUUGAGGUCAGACACGAUGAUGUAGGAA